rnacentral:rRNA from 1 species
GUCGAGCGAGACGGAUGCGGAGCUUGCUCCCUGAUGUUAGCGGCGGACGGGUGAGUAACACGUGGGUAACCUGCCUGUAAGACUGGGAUAACUCCGGGAAACCGGGGCUAAUACCGGAUGCUUGUUUGAACCGCAUGGUUCAAAUAUAAAAGGUGGCUUUUAGCUACCACUUACAGAUGGACCCGCGGCGCAUUAGCUAGUUGGUGAGGUAACGGCUCACCAAGGCAACGAUGCGUAGCCGACCUGAGAGGGUGAUCGGCCACACUGGGACUGAGACACGGCCCAGACUCCUACGGGAGGCAGCAGUAGGGAAUCUUCCGCAAUGGACGAAAGUCUGACGGAGCAACGCCGCGUGAGUGAUGAAGGUUUUCGGAUCGUAAAACUCUGUUGUUAGGGAAGAACAAGUACCGUUCGAAUAGGGCGGUACCUUGACGGUACCUAACCAGAAAGCCACGGCUAACUACGUGCCAGCAGCCGCGGUAAUACGUAGGUGGCAAGCGUUGUCCGGAAUUAUUGGGCGUAAAGCGCGCGCAGGCGGUUUCUUAAGUCUGAUGUGAAAGCCCCCGGCUCAACCGGGGAGGGUCAUUGGAAACUGGGGAACUUGAGUGCAGAAGAGGAGAGUGGAAUUCCACGUGUAGCGGUGAAAUGCGUAGAGAUGUGGAGGAACACCAGUGGCGAAGGCGACUCUCUGGUCUGUAACUGACGCUGAGGCGCGAAAGCGUGGGGAGCGAACAGGAUUAGAUACCCUGGUAGUCCACGCCGUAAACGAUGAGUGCUAAGUGUUAGAGGGUUUCCGCCCUUUAGUGCUGCAGCAAACGCAUUAAGCACUCCGCCUGGGGAGUACGGUCGCAAGACUGAAACUCAAAGGAAUUGACGGGGGCCCGC